UUGGUCCUUGUUUCUGCCCCCCCCAGCCCCAGCAGCCCCUGAACCAGCCUGUCCAUUGGUUCCCCCGCACUCGUCCACAGCGGGGAGCCCGCUCCUCACCGCCAGCGUUAGGAGUUCAGGGUUUGAGGGGCUGGCGUUGCCACGGCGACAGCAGCAAAAGAGGAUCCUGGCCACGGGUUGAACCAGAGUUUGGUACAGGCUGUGGCGGACGCUCUCACUGACGAAGCAGUAGAGGACCGGGUCGGCCACGCAGUUCAGGGAGGCGCAGUUUGUCUCCAGCAACGUGCGCACCAGCAGGAAGACGUGGUACGGAGAGAAACAGACGAGGAAGAUGAGGAUGGUGCUGCUGACCAACUGUCUGAUCCUGACCUUCUGAUCCGGCUGAGUUCCCACACUCUGGCCCACCGCGCGCAGCACGCACAGGACGUCCCGCUCAUCCACACCUGGCACAGACCUCUUUGACCUGGGCUACGUCUAAGCCGGCAUGACUCCAUUUCACUGUACGGAGCACCCCAAAGCAAUUUCAAACUCCAACCUUCAGUGCCAUGUCCACCUCACUAACAUGGUCAGCUUAUUACUUUAGUAUCCCACAAGAAAGCUAAAACUGCUCUAUCAUCCAGCCAUAAAGUUAUAAAGUCCUUUAAGUAAGACCGUUGAAGAACUGAAGGAAAACACAAAAAAGCAACUUAACCCUUGUGCUAUCUUAGAUGACCCCCCCUUCCAUUGAGGUGUUCUCCCUACCAUGACAAAGAUGUAUAAAGGUGGAAAGAUUUCAUGUAAUCCAUUUUGAGAUUUGACAGAAAGCAAACCUGCAUGUGUUGUUCAGACUGAGUAUUGAGAACCUCUUUUUGAGGACCUCUGGUCACAUUUCUGCACACCCCGCCUUCCUUUUCCUCAGCCCAUAAGCCUGUUUUUGUAAAUAAGCGCCUUAAUUUUGACUCUCGUGUGACUCAGCAACGGAAUUUUUCAAAGAAAAAUGGAGCUACUUUUUCUGCUGCAAAAAAGAGGCGGCGGUCACAAAAGUCUGCUCCAGUAAACUCUGAGUGCAUUCCUUUGCUCUGCAGCAGGAACUGUAAUAAUAUGGUCUAAAAGUAGUCAAAGCAGAGAAAGCAGCCUCUGUCUUCCAUCCUCUGUCAGAUAACUGCAGGAGGAGACACAGAAAACUAUUUACAAUCUAACACAAGAUGUGAGCAGUUGUUUGCCCAUCGAAACUUCACCUGACAAAGUUUUUCUGAGCUCGGAAAGAUUAUUGAGAAAAUGUAGAUUUCUGAGGACCGCUUAGACACAUCAAACUGCUAAUCCACUACAAGUUAUGAGACAGACAGACAGACAGACAGACAGACAGACAGACAGACAGACAGACAGAUGUUUCUUUGUGAACCAUUCCAUUGUAGAUUUUGCUUUAUGUUUUGGAUCAUUGUCUAGUUGGAAGACAAAUCUCCAUCAGAGUCUCAGGUCUUUGCAGACUCCAUCAGGAAUGGUCCUGUAUUUGGCUCCAUCCAUCUUCCCAUCUUAUCCAACCAUCCUCUCUGUCCCUGCUGAAGAAAAGCUGGCCCAAACCAUGAUGCUGCCACCACCAUGUUUGACAGUGGGGAUGGUGUGUUCGGGCCGAUGAGCUGUGUUGUUUAUGCCAAACAGAACAUUUUGCAUUGUUGCUAAAAAGUUUUCAUCUGACCAGAGCUCCUUCUUCCACAUGUUUGGUGUGUCUCGUGGCAAACUGUAAAUGACACUUUUUAUGGAUUUCUUUAAGAAAUGGCUUUCUUCUUGCCACUCUUCCCUAAAGGCCAGAUUUGUGCAGUAUAUGACUGAUUGCUGUCCUAUGGACAGACUCUCCACCUCAGCUGCAGAUCUCUGCAGUUCAUCCAGAGUGAUCAUGGGUCUCUUGGCGGCAUCUCUAAUCAGUCUUCUCCUAGUUUGAGCUGAAAGUUUAGCCCAGGGGUGUCAAACUCAUUUUCACUAAGGGCCACAUCAGCAUAGCGGCUGUCCUCAAAGGGCCGGAUUUAACUUUUACAUUCAAC